AACGCACAUUGCGCCCGGUGGUAUUCCGCCGGGCAUGCCUGUUCGAGCGUCUCUAUCAACCAUCACGCCCCGGCGUGGAACUGGGGAUUGCAGUUUGCUGCAGCCCUAAAUCUCAUAUGCGAUCCCAGUUGGUUCUAUGCGUAGUACAUACCCCGCUACAGAACUUUAAUUGGAGCCGUCGGCAGUAAAUGGUGCAAGCCCAUUCUAAGGUUGACCUCGAAUCAAGUAGGGAUACCCGCUGAACUUAA
rnacentral:misc_RNA from 1 species